UGUCCUUUAAAUAAGGACCCGUAUGAAUGGCCACAUGAGAAAGAAACUGUCUCUUUAGGUAGGUCAAUGAAACUGAUCUCCCUGUACAAAAGCAGGAAUAACAAAGUAAGACAAAAAGACCCUGUGAAACUUAAAAUAAACUGUCAACCCAUGACAAACACUUUUAGUUGGGGCAACUACAGAGAAACAAAACCUCAAACCAUAUCGUCAAGACAAACAAGUCUAAACGACCAUCAACACCGAUCCAGUAUAACUGAUCAAAGAACCAAGCUACUCCAGGGAUAACAGCGCCACAUUCUUGAAGAGUUCAUAUCAACAAGAAUACCUACGACCUCGAUGUUGGAUCAGGAUAACCUAAUGGUGCAGAAGCUAUUAAGGGUUCGUUUGUUCAACGAUUAAUAAU
rnacentral:rRNA from 1 species